AUUGAACGCUGGCGGAAUGCUUUACACAUGCAAGUCGAACGGCAGCAUAGGUGCUUGCACCUGAUGGCGAGUGGCGAACGGGUGAGUAAUACAUCAGAACGUGCCCAGUCGUGGGGGAUAACGUAGCGAAAGUUACGCUAAUACCGCAUACGAUCUAAGGAUGAAAGCGGGGGACCGUAAGGCCUCGCGCGAUUGGAGCGGCCGAUGUCGGAUUAGGUAGUUGGUGAGGUAAAGGCUCACCAAGCCGACGAUCUGUAGCUGGUCUGAGAGGACGACGAGCCACACUGGGACUGAGACACGGCCCGGACUCCUACGGGAGGCAGCAGUGGGGAAUUUUGGACAAUGGACGCAAGUCUGAUCCAGCCAUUCCGCGUGCAGGACGAAGGCCUUCGGGUUGUAAACUGCUUUUGUACGGAACGAAAAAGCUCUUACUAAUACUAGGAGUCCAUGACGGUACCGUAAGAAUAAGCACCGGCUAACUACGUGCCAGCCGCCGCGGUAA
rnacentral:rRNA from 1 species